rnacentral:rRNA from 1 species
GAUGAACGCUGGCGGCGUGCCUAACACAUGCAAGUCGAACGAAGUAUAUAUAGGAAGUCUUCGGAUGGAAUAUGUAUAACUUAGUGGCGGACGGGUGAGUAACGCGUAAGUAAUCAACCUGUGACACACGGAUAACUGAUAGAAAUGUCAGCUAAUACGAGAUGAACUGUUUAAAUUGGGAAAUGGAAACAGCAAAGCGAAAGCGGUCACAGACGAGCUUGCGUCUGAUUAGCUAGUUGGUGGGGUAAGAGCCUACCAAGGCGACGAUCAGUAGCCGGCCUGAGAGGGUGAACGGCCACAUUGGAACUGAGACACGGUCCAAACUCCUACGGGAGGCAGCAGUGGGGGAUAUUGCACAAUGGGGGGAACCCUGAUGCAGCAACGCCGCGUGAGUGAAGAAGGCCCUAGGGCCGUAAAGCUCUGUCGUAUGGGAAGAAACAAAUGACUUACCAUACAAGAAGCCCCGCA